UCCUCUGUUUUAUUGUCAGAGGUCGGGCCUGCCCUGUGCUACACGUUAACGGCCGCAGUAUUUUGACUGUGCAAAGGUAGCAUAAUAAUUUGGCCUUUAAUUGGGGUCUGGAAUGAACGGUUUGACAAGGGUUUGACUGUCUCAGUCUAGGACAAAGAAAUUGAACUGUCUGUUAAAAUGCGGACAUAUAUAAGAGGGACGAAAAGACCCUAUAGAUCUUUAAACUUUGGUUAAGGCUUGGACAAGGCUUAAAAGUUUUUGUUUGGGAUGAAACUAAAAAUUUAACUUGAGUUAAUUUGAAAGCAGUGCAGCUUACCAUCGAUCCGUUAAGCGAUAGAACGAAAAAGAUACCUUAGGGAUAACAGGACAAUAAUGCUUUAGAAGGUCUUAUUUUAAAGAAUGAUUGUUACCUCGAUGUUGAAUUAAGGGGACCAUAGCUUGCAGCAGGGCGUUUGGUUGGUCUGUUCGACCAGUAAUUCC
rnacentral:rRNA from 1 species